UCCCAUCCCUCGGCUGUGCUGGCGGGGGAUGAUGGGUUUGUAGUCCGUCACCCCUCGGGGGGAGGGGGAGAUGGACUGCGGACUGCGAAGAAAAAACAUGAGACGUUGCAGCGCGUUGGAGAAAGAAAAGGCAGAAAGAGAGUUCACCCACCCACCAAGCUGGGCGGCUUGCAAGAAAUAUUGGGCCCAUCUUCAUGACAGAAGCAACUCAACAGAAGCACGGAAUCUACUUGGGAUCCAUCAGCUUAGCUAGAAGAUAGUGAUCCGCCUUGUUUGCAUUGCCUGAAAGCUGAGUGGAGGCGUUCCUGCCAUCCUGAAAAACAAAGGUUAGUUUCUCCCAGGGCAGGGCUGAGAAAUGCUUAGCCACACGUCUUGAGAAAGGGUGAGGUUUAGUUGCAGCUCUGUUAUCUUUAAGACUGAUCUCUUCUAGAGGGUUUGCCUCUCCCAGGGAGAGCUCAAAACCAAUCUGGACUGGAGCAGGGUAACUUCUGUAAAUAGGCCUACCACAUUCUUUGCAAAAGAGCCCCCUAGGCCAUGCUAAUCAAGUUCCAUCUGGGAUCAUUGAAUGCUGAGCAUCUGCAGACUUUAUUUUUUAAUCGAUAUACACGUGCACCAAAACUGGAUCUUACAAGGCCUGGGCUGGGAAGAAACCAUCAGGAAGGACUUAAGAUGUUUAUGCAUCCUACUUGAUGCCACUUUGAAUGGGCUACAAGGUUUCCAGAGGUCUUCUGGGCUAGUGCAAGACAUCUGGUAUAUUAAGGGCUUGUUAGAGAAGAGUCAUCUGCUUGAAGGUGUUCUCUGUUGGAAGGAUGGUCAAAGGACAGUAAUCUAGUUGAGCAGUUCUCAACUUUUUAUUUCUCCGCUUUCUCCAGGACCCUGAUAGAUUUACAGUGAUUUUGUAAGUUUUAAGGAUUUAAUUAACAUUUCAAUCGCUUGCCCCAUUUCCAACCUUGAUUACUGGCCUGUUUGAAGGUAUCUGCACUUGGAAAUCUGCGUUAUCUGCUUGAAGACAUCUGUUAGAUGCCGUCCUUUUUUUUCCAGUGAUUUGUUUGCAUGGAUGAAGGUCUACCUUAUCCUGCGUUCAGGGGUGCCUGGAGCAGUGCUCAAGAAGCAGUUAAUCAUAAGAAGAGCAGACAGUCCUUCAGAAAUUAGUGCAAAUGUGUAAAAGCCAUGGCUAUAUAGAUACAUCCAUGAAUCUUACUGGAGCCUACAGAAGAAGGAAAUAAACUUGACUUGCAUGAAACAAUUACCGGUAACUGCAUUAUUAGGCUGCCAAAGACAUUGCAGUAUGACUGUUCCCAUAUUGUUAAUCUGGUUUUUCUUUCCUUCCUGAAGGAUGGAUUGCAUAAUGAACUCUCCUAGCCAUUAUGUUUGAUGGAGGGUGAGAUCCAACAGACGGAUGCAUCACCCACGUUGCCAAGGUAACCACUGAAUUAUAGCUUGAUUUGGCUGUAGCCAUGAGGUUGUAUUUAUUCUUUUUAAAACUCUCACUUCUUUCAGUUCCAGAGCUGGCAGAUGGAAAUAAGAAAAACCUGCCGCCGAAGAGGUAGCAGAUGUUUGUAAGAUAUAAGACAGUGUUAGAAUUCAUCUUGUUAUAUUGGCAUUUAUCCAAGUACUAAUUAGAUCCAAUCUUGCUUAGGUGUUUGCGUGUUUGUUUGUUUGUUUAGAUUAGCCACAGUUAGAGGGGGCUGAUUUUAAAGUUCAGAGAAAAGGGGCGGCAGAGAUCGUUGUGAUUCUAUGUAGUUGAUGAGAGCCUGAAAACAGAGAGAGGUGAGAAUUUUAAAGAACACAAGGGUAUUAAGUCUUCUGUGGGCAUGAUAGAAACAAAGAUGAUUUGCAAGGAAAAAAAUAAA